AAAGGUAGCCUCAAUGUUAUUUUUGUGGUUAAAUUGUCUCCCUUAGUGGAAAUCUUUCACUGGCAAUAUGGCAGCUUCCAGUGAUGAAAAGUUGACGUCUCUGUUCGGUCCGAUUUUUCUAAUCUUGGAGGUUAUUGUGGACAAUCAAAGCACUAUACAACUCAUCUGUUAGACAAGGUUUAUCUUUGUACAAAGGACACCACCUUGAAUUUAUCCACAGCACUGAGGGCAGUGAGGCCUGUUUAUCAAACUUUCCACAUGUUCCAGGAGGACUAUUUUAAUUUUUAUACACAUAAGUGACAUUGUUUUCUGUUGAUCGUGCUGCUAUAAAAUUGUCGAUAUGUACAUGCCGAUGGCACAGAGACUUUUUUGGGAUAUAUUGGCGGGACUAUUCAACAAAGUGUGGAUUCAAAGAUCGUUCUGCUAACAUUAAGGCAAAACUCCAAAAGGCGAAAAUCUGAUAGUGUUGGAGGAACGACACUAACCCUAUCAUAGGAAUACUGACUAUUGUAAUGACAACUAAUUCCAAAAGGGUCAGGUCUCUGCAAGCAGUGUUUUACCAAGAUUAGACAAACAGAAGUUGAUGGAGGAAUCAUAGUUGAUACAAAAAAGAUUAUGAUGAAGAUGAAAGCCAAAUUAAAGAUACUCAGGUUCUCAUAGGAGUAUAUUCAAGAGCAUCAACUAAUUUUUCAUAAUAUUUAGCAUCAGAUUGGGAAACAGAUAACAUUUCUGACCGGGAGAAACUCAACAGAGGCUUGCAUUUCCUUUGAAAUUGAAAGUAUCCACCAUUUAGGAACCAAUUGAAUCUUGAAUGGGAUGAUGUAUCAAAAAGUACAAUGGCUUUUUCUACAAAAUUAUCAUCAGAAAUUAUUGAUUUGAUUUUGAAUUAUAUUGUACCUGCACAAUACAAGUCGAUAAAGUGUUCUGAUCUGUAGUAGAAAAGAGGAAAACAGACGAAACACAGUCAAUAUUACAACAGGAUGUUUUGACUGAAGCUCGUAUUGAUGCAUACUUACUAACUAAGACCUGAAUAGUCAUCCGACCUGGCUUCAGAUCUUAUCACUGUUUGCAUGUAUUCAGACCGUUUUACAUGUUUCUCUUUAUGGCAGACUUCGCUAAUAUUAUAUGACAGUAAAAUUAUAAGCAAACAGCCUAAAUAACUAUAUAACCAUUUUAAUGAAAAUGUCGGCACCACAGUUGAACCAUUUAUCUGUAUAUUUGUUUUUAUUCAUGUAGGUAUAAAAUAAAUUUUAUUUCCAUUUGAAA